AUUGAACGCUGGCGGCAGGCUUAACACGUGCAAGUCGAGCGGGGGAAGGUAGCUUGCUACCGGACCUAGCGGCGGACGGGUGAGUAAUGCUUAGGAAUCUGCCUAUUAGUGGGGGACAACAUCUCGAAAGGGAUGCUAAUACCGCAUACGUCCUACGGGAGAAAGCAGGGGAUCUUCGGACCUUGCGCUAAUAGAUGAGCCUAAGUCGGAUUAGCUAGUUGGUGGGGUAAAGGCCUACCAAGGCGACGAUCUGUAGCGGGUCUGAGAGGAUGAGCCGCCACACUGGGACUGAGACACGGCCCAGACUCCUACGGGAGGCAGCAGUGGGGAAUAUUGGACAAUGGGGGGAACCCUGAUCCAGCCAUGCCGCGUGUGUGAAGAAGGCCUUAUGGUUGUAAAGCACUUUAAGCGAGGAGGAGGCUACUCUAGUUAAUACCUAGGGAUAGUGGACGUUACUCGCAGAAUAAGCACCGGCUAACUCUGUGCCAGCAGCCGCCGUAA
rnacentral:rRNA from 1 species